rnacentral:rRNA from 1 species
GACGAACGCUGGCGGCGUGCUUAACACAUGCAAGUCAUGGGGGCCUGGGCAACCAGGCAACCGGCGAACGGGUGCGUAACACGUGAGCAACCUGCCUAGGUGUGGGGGAUAGCCGGCCUAACGGCCGGGUAAUACCGCAUACGUUCUCGCUAGGGAGUCCUGGCGAGAGGAAACCCGUGGGGCAACUCACUGGGGCAGCUAGAGGGGCUCGCGGCCUAUCAGCUAGUUGGCGGGGAACGGCCCACCAAGGCGGUGACGGGUAGCUGGUCUGAGAGGAUGGCCAGCCACAUUGGGACUGAGAAACGGCCCAGACUCCUACGGGAGGCAGCAGUGGGGAAUCUUGCGCAAUGGUCGAGAGACUGACGCAGCGACGCCGCGUGUGGGAGGACGCC